UUCGGGAGCUGUACAGGUGCUGCAUGGCUGUCGUCAGCUCGUGUCGUGAGAUGUUCGGUUAAGUCCGCUAACGAGCGCAACCCUCGCUGUGUGUUACAAGUGUCACACGGAACUGCCGGUCAUAAACCGGAGGAAGGUGGGGAUGACGUCAAGUCAGCAUGGCCUUUAUAUCCUGGGCUACACACACGCUACAAUGGGAAGGGACAAUAGGUUGCGAAGCCGCGAGGCGGAGCCAAUCCAGCAAAACUUCCCUCAGUUCAGAUUGCAGGCUGCAACUCGCCUGCAUGAAGUUGGAGUUGCUAGUAAACGCAGGUCAGCAUACUGCGGUGAAUACGUUCCCGGGCCUU
rnacentral:rRNA from 1 species